rnacentral:lncRNA from 1 species
UUUGAUGUGCAUUGAGGACUCGUGCGGAGAGGACAUUAUAGAAUAGUGUGAUUCUGUAUAUGGUUUGAGCAUUGGAGUGAGUACGUCGAGUGUGAAACCCUUGGAAACUUGAGAAAGUGACGCGUGAAACCUAUCCUCAUCUGUUUGAUGAGAGGAUCUAUGGUAUAGGGUUUGAGUUUCGCGGAUGAAACUAUUUUUAAGGGGUGGAGAAUGUAAUAUACCGAAACUUCGGUAGGUGUACCGAACUUUAGUCAAAUCGACCGAGGUGCGGAGUUGGACAAGUUAGAGAGGUCCGUUGAUCAUUCUGAGUGUUCCGGAGUGUAUAUCAUGAGUGUUGGGACCUUGGAGAGCAAGCUAGGAGAAUUUCAGCUCAAAUUGUGCUGGAAAUGCUCUCGGGGUCCGAACCCUGAGGCAGCGUUUGGUUAGGGGAUAAGGAUAGGGAUAGGCCCUUAUCCUCCCCUUUAUACCCAAACGCUAAUUUUUUACCCGAGAAUAGUUGUUCUCGGUUAUCCCCACCAACACCUCCAUUUUCUAUAUAAAACUAUCUAAUAUUUUUCUUACCCCCGGGAACAACCCAAUUUUCAUCCAAACGCUAUUUUUAUUAUCCCCAUAUUUGUACCUAUCCCUGUAAUAGCUAGUUCUUGCUUAUACCCGAACCAAAUAGUACCUGAGUGCAA